rnacentral:lncRNA from 10 species
UAAGGAGCCAGAGACUCCCUCUGCUCCGCACAGAGCCUGGAUUCAGGGCUGGCUGCAGCCAAGGGAACACAGACUGGAGAUUAAGCAGGCCUAAAGUUUCCAAAGUCAGCGAUUUCAAAGAAAAACGCAGCAAAAAAAAAAAAAAAAAAAAAAAAACAGCUGUCACUGAGGGGCAGAGAACAGCAAACUCCUCUCAUCUGACCCACAGAAUGAGCUUCGGGGAGGCAGGGCCAGAGAACCACCCAGACAAAACAAACAAAACAAUAAGCCCAGCAACAUGGAGGGAAAGGAAUGGAAGGAGACUUCUUCAACCUGACGAAGGGCACCUAUGAAAAAGCCACAGCUAACAUCAAACUUAAUGGUGAAAGACUGAAGACCUUACCCUAACAUCAGGAACACUGGAAAAAAUUCUCACACUUGCCACCUGUAUUCAACAUUGUAGUAAAUGUUCUGGCCACAGCAAUUAGCAAUAAUAAUAAAGUCAUCCAGACUGCAAAGAAAAAAGAAAAACUCUUCACAGAUAAUAUAAUCACACAUAUUUUAAAAAUCUGAAGAAAUACAUGCACACAUAAUACUAGUACUAAUAAAGAGGGUUCAGCAAGCUUGCAGGAUAAAAAAUAUACAAAACCCAGUUGUAUUUCUAUACACUAGAAAUGCACACACAACCUAAAAAUAAAUUUAAAAAACAAUUUGAUUUACAAUGUCAGCAAAAAAAUAAAAUACUUACAAAAACAUUUAACAAAAGAAGUAUAAGACUUAUACAAUAAAAACAUAAAGCAUUGUUGAAAGACAUUUUAAAAAACCUAAAUAAGUGGAAGGAUAUUCUGUGUUCAUGUACUGGAAGACUUACUUUUAUUGUUAUUAAGAGUUUAAUACUUGCCAAAUUGAUCUACAGAUUUAACAUAAUCCGUGUCAAAAUCCCAGCUGGCUUUUUUGGAGAAAUUGAUAAGCUGAUGUUAAAAUUUAUAUGAGUAUGUAGGGAAUUCAAAAUAGCUAAAACCAAUCUUCAUAAAGAACAAAGCUAGAGAACCUACCAAUUUUAAAACUUAGUACAAAGUGACAGUAACCAAGGUACUGUAGUACUGUCAUAAAAACAGACAUGUACAUCACUGGAAUACAUUUGAGAAUCUAGAAAUAAACCCUUACACUUAUGGUCAACUGAUUUUUGACAAAGGGGCCAAGACAAUUCAAUGAGGAAAGAACAGUCUUUUCAACAAAUGGUGUUGGGGCACUUGGGCAUCCACAUGCAAAAUAAUGAAGUUGAACCACUACUUCACAUCGUACGUAAUAAUUAAAAUAAAUAAAAAACCUAAAUGUAAGAGCCAAAACUAUAUAACUCUUAGAAGAAAACACAGGUGUAAAUCUUUAUGACCUUAGAUUAGACAAUAGUUUUUUCGAUAUGACGCCAAAAGUAAAUGCAACCAAAGGAAAAAAGAAAUUGGACUACAUCAAAAUUAUGAACUUUCGUGUUUCUAAGAACACUAAAAAGAAAGUGAAAGGACAAUGGGUCUAAUAUCCAGAAUAUAUGAAGAAUUCUCACAACAACAUAAAGAAAAAUAAUCUAAUUUUAAAAUCAGCAAAGAAUGUGUACAGACAUUUCCACCAGAAAGACAGACAAAUGCCAAUAAGCACAUGAAAAGAUGCUCAACAUCAUUAGCCAUCAGGAAAAUGUAAAUAAAAAGCACAAUGGAAUACCACUUCAUACUUAGUAAGAUGGUGAUAAUAAAAAUUAAUAACAAAUGGUGGUGAAGAUACAGAGAAAUUGGAACUCUAUACUGCUAGUAGGAAAAUUAAAUGGUACAAAGUUAACCCUUUUUUCCUCCUCACCCCCACAUCCAGCCACCAAUAUUACAAAUUUUACCUGCAAAAUAUUUCUUUAAUCUGCAUUUGACUCUCCAAACUGAAUUAGACCUCUCAUCAGGAUUAGAGUAAGAACCUCUUAACUGGUCUCCUUCCCUCCAAGGGUGUCUUUCUCAAAUCCAUUCUCCAGAUAGCUGCUGCCAUGACCUUUCAAAACAUUCUCCUGCUCUACACGUUUCCAGGCUCCCCAUGACCUAUAGGAUGAAAUCAAGAUCCAACAGAAGUCCCAAGGCCCUCCAUGGCGAAGAGGACUUCUCCCAUCAUCCUGACUCCUCCUUCGUGCUGGCUCUUCUGUCAAUGAGAUUUUGCAUUUUCAUUUGAGAAACUUGGAUCUGCUUGUAGUUCCCCUGUUGUCAACCGUUAAUCACUCACUCACUGUCUCUCUCUCUCUCUCUCUCUCUCUCUCUCUCUCACACACACACACACACACACACACACACACACACACUGUUCUCUAUGUCACAGAGGUGAAAACAAGCAUCCAUCUCCUUCCCUCUCCAUAAUUUCCUGGAUCAUUCCUACUCAGCCCUUAAGCAGCCUCUCAAGGUUUACCACCUCGAGGUGGAAGGCCUUCCCAGGUCCUCUACAAAUGAACCACUCACAGGUGAAUUAAGGGUUUCCACUUUAUGCUUUUUAAUAGCUCAUACAUAUAUCAUUCAUCAUCAUGCUUACUAUAUUGUAUUUUAACACUCUGUGUCUCAUCUGCUAGUUUGAAAGUUCUGUAAGGGAAGAACUCAUGUCAUUCAUCAAAACUUCCUGCGCAGGGCCCGACAUAAGAAGGCACCCAAUAAGUGUCAUGCAGACUGAAGGAAUAAACCAUAACACUUAUGUGGCUAUAGGUAUCCUCAAAUUGACUAAACAAAGAAACAAGAAUUCACUGGUUAAGGCAAUGAGCAAGUCCAAAUAAGCCUCAGGCCCAGCUAGGUCCAGGUGCUUAAAAAUACCACGAGGAAGCAUUUUAUAGUUAUUCUGAGGCUCAGAAAAAUAUUUUUUUCUUAGUAUUUGAGCAAGCACUCUAAACCUGGGCCAAACUGACUUGCCCUUCCCAGAACCGAUCACCAAAGCUCUGGUUAAAAGGCCUGGGUUGCGUGCCCACUUCUGAAGCUAAGGGCUAAGGUCAGUCUCACUCAAAUAUCACAUAGGCAAGAAUAGGGGAAGGGUGGUUAACAGAAGGAAAAUAGAGAUUUUCUUACCAGAAGAAGGUAGAUGAAGGCUAGACAGGCAGCAACAAUAGUUGUCUACCACAGAAUCUCUUAGGUUUUCUAUAUUGUAUUUGUGCUCCUCUCGUUCUCUCGAUCAGCUUAUCAGCAUUUUAGGACAACGCUUGCUCUUUCUUUGUAGUUACCUACAGAUUCCUGCAAGCUGUUCUAAGCACGGUGGCCACCCACUGCAAGUAGUUGAGUAGCUGAUGGGCAAGUCAUCAUUGACAGCCCCAGCAGCACCUGGCCAGGUCUCUCAGCCCAUGUGCAAGGCAAGCAUCACCGAGCAGGUGUAGGCUCUGGCUGGGAAAUGUUGUUUUGCGGAGAGCUGAGUAUUUAUUUGGAUUGAUGACUCUCAGCGUUGCCAGAUUUCAAAUUUAAAUCAAAUAUUUAUUGGUGAUAGGUGGCAAGGAAAACAGUAUACUUUGGGGGUAAUUAUUAAUGUAGGCCAGCUCAUCUGUUAUUGGAACAGCUGAAUUUCAAUCCCAUAAACUGGGAACCCAAGCAAGAAUAAUCAUGUUAAUAUGUCCUCACACUUACAUAGUGCAUUAGCAUUUACAACAUUUUCCCAUAUGUUAUUCGUUUUGGCUUUAAAUCACACACCUGUGCAAGGUGAGAUUUGUAAUUCCCAUUUUACAGAUGAGAAAUACGAGACUCCAGGUGUCAAGUGGUUUCUCUACAAGUGGCAAAGCAGGGCUAGAACCCACAUUGCUGAUAUCCAAGGCAUGACUGUUGCCAAGAUAUCACUCACCCCCUUUCCUUACAGCACACCUAAAUCACAGAAAUACUUCAUGCACUUCACAUGUAUGUCUGACCUUCGUGAACUCUUCAGUGUCAACUUAGUUGAGGUCUUUUCAAGUUAGCAUGCCAUUUCAUGAACAUAAUCUUAUUUUAUUUUGAAGACCACCUAUGAGAUAGAUAUUACCCCU